GAGUGGUGGGGAGGUCUGGUGGAAAGAACACUGGAGUACAAUGCAGGAGUCCUGUGCUUAGUUCCUGGAUCCCAACAGGACUAAACUGCUGUGUGACCUAGGUGCUGCAUAAAUUGUCAGAUUAUGAUGAUGAUUCCUGUCAGUCCCACCAGUUAACAGCUGAGCUACUUUUCCUUUGGCCACUUUUUGCCACUGGAGGUCACUGCAGACCUAGAGGAGCCCAGGAGAUUGUCGUGAAUGUGGCAGGAAUGUCCAGAACUUCCAGGAAACUGAAAAAUCGGUUGUCUGCACCGUUCUAGAAGCAAGUGGAGACAGGAGAGGUUGUUGCAAGGAAGAAUAUCUCUGGCUCAUGGAAAGCUAUCCCUUACAUGCUGCUUUUCUGGGUCCCUCUUGCUUCUUGCAAAGUUAAGGCCCUGAUUUACCAAAGGACUUAAGUAUAUGCUUAACCUGAAGCACCGUUGGCUUCAAGGAGACUGAAGCUCAUGCUUAAAGUUAAGCAAAUGCUUAAGUGGUUUGCUGAAUCAGGGCCCAACUUCGAUGCACUUGAAGAACCAUAACUGGUGGAGGUUCAAGUACAGCAAACUAAGGAUCUUCCCUGGCACUGCCCCCACACCUAGUUCCACCCUUCAAGUUUGAAUUGAGGGGGUUCAGCAGAGUCAGACAGGAGCAGGGAACAGUCCUGCCUCCCCUUUUAUUGACACCUCAGCAAGAAUCCACAGGUUCUGGCUCUUUGCACCAGUGGACUCGCGCAGAGAUCUCAGCACUGGCUACAAUACUGCAUUUGUUUCACAACUGAGAAUUUUAAACAUCAAGGAGACAUGAAACUUGGAAAGGAAAUCACCUAAUAAAGACAUCUGAGCUUAAUCAUUCCACUCCUGUCCUAAAUGCACCAUAACU